GUCGAGAAUCUUCCGCAAUGCGCGAAAGCGUGACGGAGCGACACCGCGUGAUGGAUGAAGUCCUUCGGGGCGUAAACAUCUUUUAUAAAGGAGGAAAUUUUUGACGUUACUUUAUGAAUAAGGGGCUCCCAAUCUCGUGCCAGCAGGAGCGGUAAUACGAGAGCCUCAAGCGUUAUCCGGAAUCAUUGGGCGUAAAGGGUGCGUAGGUGGUUUGAUUAGUCUCCCGUUAAAACUUCGAGCUUAACUCGAAAAGAGCGGGGGAAACGGUCAAACUAGAGUAUGUGAGAGGUGUGUGGAACUCAUGGUGUAGGGGUGAAAUCCGUUGAUAUCAUGGGGAACACCAUAAGCGAAGGCAGCACACUGGCACAUCACUGACACUGAGGCACGAAACCUAAGGUAGCGAAUGGGAUUAGAUACCCCUGUAGUCC
rnacentral:rRNA from 1 species